rfam:Oryza meridionalis cultivar OR44 (W2112) chromosome 9, whole genome shotgun sequence.
UCAAAGACUAUUUUUCAGUUUUUACAACUUUUGACUUUUUGUCUUAUUUAAAAAUUUUCUAUGAUUAGUAUUUUUAUUGUUAUCAGAUGGUAAAACAUGAACAAUACUUUAUGCGUGAUUAUUUUUUAUUUUUUCACAAAUUUUUUAAAUAAGACAGACGGUUAAACGUUGGACACAGAAACCCAAAAAUGAAGUCUUU